AAGAUAGAUAGGUUGCUAAGAAUUUGCUAAAUUUUUUUGUUCAAGUUUCGAUACUUGGCUAUCUUA
rnacentral:tRNA from 1 species